AGGUCAGCUGCAGAAGAGGGGAGAGGGGGAACAACACAUGGUACGUUUUUUAAGUCUAGAGAGAAGGGUGAAGAAGAGCAGAGGUGCUUGAGUCCUCUCGCAGUUCCCCUAGCGACCAGGGCGACCAGGAUGGGAAGACACUAAGGCACAGAGCCGCUUUGUGCUCUGAUCCACCACUUUUGUGGAACUGGACUUGGACAAAGACUAUGCUGGUCAAGGAACCCAGCAUGGAGACCUGAGGGGAGGCUGGUGUGUGGUGUUGGUGGAAGAGUGGCGGAUGGGACUUAUAGGGAGAAUGAUGACUAAUACUUGAAUCUGCAAGUGUGGUGGCUUUAAUCCCAGCACUUGGGAAGCAAAGAGGGCAAAACUCUGUGAGUUCGAGGCCAGCUUGUAUAGCAAGUUCCAGGCCCCUUAGGACUACAUAGUAAGACCCUGUGUCAACAACAACACAAAGCAAAAACCUUGAAUCUGGGUUGGGUACGGGAGCCAGGUCAGCAAGACUACUUACUGAGAGAGACUGAUACCUGAGAGAGACUGAUACCAGAUAGGAACUAGAGUGAUUUAAAGGAAGGGCAAAGGGAGGAAUCCAAGGUAUCUAGUAAAACCAGCCCAUUUACCUUCCAGGCCAGGCCCAUUUCUAUAGGAGGUGUGGUCAGAGGAGAUACAGAAAUUGCCUAAGGGACCAGAAAGAGUCGCUGGCCUUGCAGCCUGUGAAGCAUGUUUUUGACCACGGGGUAAUCUUCAGGGAGAUCCUCCUCUGAGUUAGAUGGCUUGGGUGCUGGGACAUCGAAUCUGGAGAGACGAAGGAAGUUAUUGGCAUCCCUGUCUUUUUGAUGCUGCUUCUGAUGAUCCUAACCCACUCACUUGUCACAGAAACAGAAGAAAACAUAGGUGUGAGUUCACACUGUGGGACAUCUUCCCCUCCGCCUCAGGUGAGCUCUGACUGCUUGAUACCUUCCCACCUUUUAAAACCAUCUCCCCACCCCACCCCAAACACCCUGCCCGCUCUGCUCCAUUUUUCUCUUCAGUUCUCCCUUCUUCUUUCAUGUCCUUUACUUCUGCCUACUCCAAAAUCACUUUCUCCUCAGGUUCCUAGCUUCAUCCAGACUGUUAUAUGCCUUCUCCAUCCUUCCACAGCCUCAACACAACUACUUCUUACCUCUUGUUUAAUCUUCCCAGGCCCACGCUCUCUUUUAGUAUGCUCUCCUUCUUUAGUUACCAGCAUGUCUUCCAGAUAUAUGUCCACCCCGUCACCACAAAAGGGACACACACCCAUAUUCCUUGAGCUAAGAGUUGUUAUAUAAAAGCCUAACAAUAAAGCUGCUCUCCUUUUUGUCUUAAAA